rnacentral:rRNA from 1 species
UACGAAGGGGGCUAGCGUUGCUCGGAAUCACUGGGCGUAAAGCGCACGUAGGCGGAUUGCUAAGUCAGGGGUGAAAUCCUGGAGCUCAACUCCAGAACUGCCUUUGAUACUGGCGAUCUUGAGUCCGGGAGAGGUGAGUGGAACUGCGAGCGUAGAGGUGAAAUUCGUAGAUAUUCGCAAGAACACCAGUGGCGAAGGCGGCUCACUGGCCCGGUACUGACGCUGAGGUGCGAAAGCGUGGGGAGCAAACAGG